GUGUGGUAAAGGAACAACAGCCCGGCAAUGAGGGGAGCAUUUCCUGAGGACAGAUUUUAUUAAACACUGUCAUGGAUAUGCUCUCUUUACUGCUGCGGCUUCUUCCGCCAAACAGCGGG
rnacentral:precursor_RNA from 10 species